UGGUCUGGGCAGAAGCUCUUUGGACCACCGUAGACGGGGAGAAUUCCC
rnacentral:sRNA from 12 species